CACGUAGGGGACGAGCGUUGUCCGGAUUUAUUGGGCGUAAAGAGCUCGUAGGCGGUUUGUUGCGUCUGCUGUGAAAUUCCGGGGCUUAACUUCGGGUGUGCAGUGGGUACGGGCAGGCUUGAGUGCGGUAGGGGAGAUUGGAAUUCCUGGUGUAGCGGUGGAAUGCGCAGAUAUUAGGAAGAACACCGAUGGCGAAGGCAGGUCUCUGGGCUGUUACUGACGCUGAGGAGCGAGAGCGUGGGGAGCGAACAGG
rnacentral:rRNA from 1 species